CUCUCGGUCGGUGUAGUGCGUGUGGUUAGCCAGUGUUGGAUGGUGGGCGUCAACCCGGACCGUACUACUGGCAACUUGUGGCCUCGAUUCCGUUUUCUGUUGGAGUUCGCUUCGUCUGUCGACCCGGAGGUUUGAGACCAGAACUGACCCUUCCUUGUAUUAAAACAACACGUCACUUCUACCUUCGACAUUAAGAUCAUCAGGAUGAAGAGAAGUCACCAGGUAUGGCUACUUCUCAUGGCGGUCGUCUUCUCUGCUUCAGCCAGAGAGCGCUGGGUCUGGGGGAGUCAGCGAUCUGGCCGGCAAAUUGAUCCAUCCAGGCGUCCCUCCUCGCUCCCUCAGCGGUCUUCUCGUGCUCCUGCUGGUGGGUCCUCCCUCCUGGCCCAGUCUCCGUCCUCCCUACACCCCCUCAGGAGACCUGCAGCGCUCGAAUCUUCCUUCAGUGUGGCGGCAGCACGACCACGGGGCAGCUCACCUAGAGCCCUGCCACUCCCCCAACUCCAGGAUUCUUCCAAGUUUCGCCCGCUCUCCAUAGAUAUCUCCAAGUUUCGCCCGCUCUCCAUAGACAUCUCCAAGUUACCUUUGGAGACGUCAAACCCAAGUGACCCUUUGGGAGGCCUGGGGCAUCUGCCUCCAUUGCCCUUA